rnacentral:rRNA from 1 species
UACGUAGGGUGCAAGCGUUAAUCGGAAUUACUGGGCGUAAAGUGUGCGCAGGCGGCAGAGCAAGUCGAGUGUGAAAGCCCCGAGCUUAACUUGGGAAUUGCGCUCGAAACUACUUUGCUGGAGUGUGGCAGAGGAAGGUGGAAUUCCAGGUGUAGCGGUGAAAUGCGUAGAGAUCUGGAGGAACACCAGUGGCGAAAGCGGCUUCCUGGUCCAGCACCGACGUUCAGGCACGAAAGCGUGGGGAGCAAACAGG